rnacentral:rRNA from 1 species
GGUUAAUACCCUGAGUAGAUGACGGUACCCGAAUAAGAAGCACCGGCUAACUACGUGCCAGCAGCCGCGGUAAUACGUAGGGUGCGAGCGUUAAUCGGAAUUACUGGGCGUAAAGCGUGCGCAGGCGGUUUUGUAAGUCAGAUGUGAAAUCCCCGGGCUCAACCUGGGAACUGCAUUUGAGACUGCAAGACUGGAGUUUGGCAGAGGGGGGUGGAAUUCCACGUGUAGCAGUGAAAUGCGUAGAGAUGUGGAGGAACACCGAUGGCGAAGGCAGCCCCCUGGGCCAAUACUGACGCUCAUGCACGAAAGCGUGGGGAGCAAACAGGAUUAGAUACCCUGGUAGUCCACGCCCUAAACGAUGUCAACUAGGUGUUGGGAGGGUUAAACCUUUUAGUGCCGUAGCUAACA